GACGAACGCUGGCGGCGUGCUUAACACAUGCAAGUCGAACGGAAAGGCCCUGCUUUUGUGGUGUUCUCGAGUGGCGAACGUGUGAGUAACACGUGAGUAACCUGCCCUUGACUUUGGUAUAACUUCAGGAAACUGUCUCUUAUACCGUAUAUGAGCUCCUUCUUCAUUGUGUUGGUUGGAAAUUUUCGGCGGUUGGGGAUGGACUCGCGGCUUAUCAGCUUGUUGGUGGGGUAGUGGCUUACCAAGGCUUUGACGGGUAGCCGGCCUGAGAGGGUGACCGGCCACAUGGGGACUGAGAUACGGCCCAGACUCCUACGGGAGGAAGCAGUGGGGAAUAUUGAAAAAUGGGCGGAAGCCUGAUGAAGCAAAGCGGGGUGCGGGAUGACGGCCUUCGGUUUGUAAACCGCUUUCGAAUGUGACGAAGCGUGAGUGACGGUAAUGGGUAAAGAAGCACCGGCUAACUACGUG
rnacentral:rRNA from 1 species